GCCUGAUCUGGUUGAUUCAAGCAGGGGCCAACAUAAACAAGCAGGAUUAUGUUGGUGAAACUCCUAUUCAUAAAGCAGCACGGUCUGGUAGUAUGGAUUCCAUAAGUGCCCUUGUAGCUCAUGGAGCUCAAAUAGAGUUUUUGUACUUCACAAACAUUCAGAAAAUUUCACAAACUUUUGCAACUUACAGCAUGGACAAAAUGGAUGCAGUUUUCACCUAGACAUGUUGAGUAUAAGCUCUGCGGCUUAUAAUAAUUGUUUUUGUUACUAAAACUGUAGUUGCAUGAAGAUGCAGAGAAAACAACUAUGACCGCAGAUAGGCAAAUAUAAAGACACCUGAUAUAAACAGGUAUACAAUGUACACUGAAUUUAACAUUAUUUACUUGUGUUUUAUGGGAAGUAACACAAGGAUACUAAGAUUCCAUUGUUUCAUUAUGGACUACCUUGAUGAAAAUAUUAUACUACUACUAGUAGUACCUCGUAUUAAAGUCUGAUAAUUGAAAUAGGGCUCUUUUAAAAUUGAGAACAAAAGCAAACUUGGGCUACCACAGUUUUUCAUAUGUUUUUUACACUAUUCUUAUAUUACUCAUUUAGUUACAUUGGGAAUUAACUAAUGCUGACAGUAUUUAAUUUUAUCCUUUCUGGGUAGGUGACAACUUUAGUUUGAAUACAUUUUACUUACUUGAAGUUCUUCAAGUAUAAUUUAUUCCCACCUUGGUAGUUCACCACUCCUCUAAAAUACAUCCAAUAUGUUACAGUCUAAACUGAACUAAGACUUGCAUUAUUUUCCUAAUGAUGAAAGAAAAUAUGGGUCUCCAUUCCUGUGUAAAUUUUUAAUUGUAAAACAAUAUUAAAUGUACACUCUAGAAAAUAGUUUGACCUUUUUUUGGUGGUAUUUGCCUUCUCAUUUUAGCUGAAUCAUAUUCUGUGCACAGUAUGUCCUACAUCUAUAAAAAGGAUUGCUUCUAACUAUGGUAUACAUGGACUCUUGAAGAGGGGAAGCAGGUGGUCACAAUGAAUGAAAAGGUUUGCUUUGUAACUGAUUAUGAAAGUGGAUAAUACUUUUUAAAGAAAUCCAUUGUAAGUGCUGUAUUUUCAUUAAAAUGAAAUGGUAUGAUAGCAUAAUUUGUUGAAAUUGUGCACAUUGGAAAAUAAUGAUGAAACCAGUGUACAGAAACUCUACAAAGAAACGAGUUCUUGGUGCCAGGUUUUCUUUUGCCCUUUUUGAUGUAUGUUUUCCAGACUUAGAUUUAUUUAAUAUUAUAAAAAUGUAAUGUUUAGAAGAUAUUGCACUUAUUAAAAAUACCCAGAUAUAAAUGCUGAACAGGCAUUGUUGAAUAAAUGAGCAUAUCUGCUAUAAUAAUUUGAAAUGGUUUCUGGCACAUUACUCUUGUGCUUCACAUCAGCACAUUUCUUAUCACAUCAUUCUUUUUCCUCUUUGUAUGAAUAGUUCACACUGCAACUGCCAUUUGAGCAGCCACAGUACUACUUCCAUCAAUCCAACACAAGAGAGAGUCAUUGAAGAGACCCCCUGCCAGGGCCAGUUCAUCUAUCUAUCCUGCUAAGGUGGCGAGAGAAUCUUGAGAUCAUGAUAUGGUUUGAUAUAUGUUCAUUCAGAUGAACAUACUAAAUCUUGCUAAGGGCAGUUAUUUUGCUUAACUCAAAGGAAGAAAUUCCACUUUUUUUUCCAUACCAUAUUCUUGAAAUAUUCCAAUAUGUUGUUCAGGGUUCUUGAAUACCAGAACACAAGAGAAAGCUGCAUUUAUUGGAAUUAAAUCUUGUAGAAAAAUAGUAUGUCAUGCUAGGAAGCUGUCAAAGCCUGGUAGUCAUGCACCAGCACUAUUGUUUAUGACUGUUAGACAGAAUUACAGAGGAAAGCGUUUUAUGUUCUCCCUGGCUUGUGAUAACUUAAUUUGGUGUCCAAAAGAAGAUAUUCAAGAACUGAGAUAGACAUGUCAAUGGACAAAGUCAAAAUGAGACCAGUGGAAUUUGAAACUGUGAAAUCACUAGUGCAUCUCCUUCUGUUAGGUAAGGCUUUAUCCAUUCACCUCUAGCUGGCACAAAGAUUUCAGCUAUUUUCUCACCAGAAUUGUUGCUUGAUCUAUUGAUUAUAUAUUAAUUCCCAGUUAGCAUUCUGUGGUUUUACAGAGGUCAUCCUCAAGCUGGAAGAGAGUUUUCAACAUAAGAGCCCUGAUGUGCACAGGAAAAAUACACUUACGAAGGGCCUUUUGACUUUGUAAUAUUUUUAGUAAGAUCGCAAGCACUCCAGACCAGUAAAAGAAAUAAAGAUCAUUCAGAAUGGUCACGACUUCUAGCAUCUGAACAUUCAUAUACUCACUAGAUCGUUUGCAGAGAUACCCAAAGUGUCAGUCAUUUUCUUAUCUUCAUUGCUGUCAUCACCAGUGAGUGUCAUCCUUUUUGUCUCCCGAAGCAUGCAGGCCAAGAUGUAGUUUUUAUAAUGUGUUAUCAUGAUACCUACUGUGCUUUAGUCUCUUCUCCUUAUUUGAACUUCCACGCCCCUACUUCUAGAGUGCUGCUUAUCAUAGGCUAACUUAUUUGUUCCCCUCAUUAGGAUUUAGAUCACUCGGUCACCAUAACUUGUGACUAGCAUGUUGGUUACACUCUGUCUGCAAAAUCCCCAAAAUAAUCCGUUUUUACUUGAACAUUGCAAUACAUAAUUCCUAAAUACCAUCACUUUCUUACACAUUCUUGAUGCAUCAUUCAAUCUUAUGACAACUUGUGAUCUAGGGUCAGUUACUGGAUAUGAACAUUAUCAGGUAUUUCAUAAAUAGUUUUAUUUUAAUGACAGAUUCUUCUACAUCCUUUGAGAAGCCCUCUAUGAAGGAAGUAUCUAGCUACAUUUGUUGUCAUAUUCUUUUUCAGGCGAAAUCUAGUUUGACAUUUUAAUUAUUAUGUCCUUUAUGAUUUCCUUAGCUCUGGUACAUACUGGUAGAUACUUUUCAUCUUGCCUUCAUAAACUACUCAAGAUUUCUAGUUUUUGCUCUUCAGAAAUUUGGAAGCCACAGUAAUUCUUAGAUAUAAUGGUGACAGAUACCUUAGUAUAAAAGACUAGGUUAUGAGAUUUAUAUAUGUCAGAUUCUUCUGCAUCAGUUUUGGGGGAAAAAAGUCAAGAUUUCUCCUUUCAUUGGACACUGCUUUGUGAAGGAGUUCCUGAAUCCUAUACAGGUCUGUUCCUGUCACCUAAUAGAUAUAAAGGUUUCAAGAACGUGAAGUUGUUUAUUUGUAGUCUCUUAGACUCCUAGUGCUCUGUAGCAUGUACCCGCUGUUGCAUUUUUUUAACAUUCUUUGUUUCCUUACCCAGAUAAUUUAACUAAUAUGCUUUCAUUGUUGAAUAGGAUCUUGCAAUCAUUAAGUAUUCUUGAUAUGAAAUGCUUUUCCUAUACUACUUUUUCUCCAAUAGAGUAGACAUGACGGUACUGACACUCUCUGUAGAAGAAUCAUCCUACUAGUUUUGUAAGAUCCACUAAUCACAUCCUGUACAUACUUCUUAUUGAUGAUUUUCCAUUUGACUGUCACUUUAAACACUUCUCAGCAGAAUGUUUCACAUUUAUGGCAAGCUACUACACAGACUGUUUUCAAACAGAAGAUCAUCUUGUAGGUACCUCCUUUCCAGACUCAGUUACACACCUUCCCUGUGGCAUCUAUGCCUCUGGGUGCUACUUACAGUAAUUUACGAUAUUAUCAAGAUGAUGCAAUCAAAACCAAAAUCUCUUUUGUUACACAGAUCUUCAUAAGACCAUUUUCAAGGAACUUUUUAAAAAUAAGUACUAAAACGUUUAGCUUGACUCUAUUCAGUAGAGAGAGCAGAACAUUAGGUUAACAUGCUCUUCAAGGCCUCUCUUGGUAAGUGAGGGCUGUUUAAUUUUUUACCAAUGAGUGCUUUAAGGUUGAAAGCUUCCUAAGUCAGGACAUUUCAGUCCAUUAAGGCUAGAGGUUUAUUCACGUGGAUAACUGUACUAAGGAUGUUAUAUGUUGGUUAAUUUACUAGUCGAGUAGUCGAUGGAACUUCCAUCGACUACUCGACUAGUAAAUAGGCCCGCUGGAGCUCUUGUACUUUUGAAAGGAGGAAUGCUGAACUCCGCAUGCAGCCCGGGGCCAGUGGGAAGUCCCACUCACUCCAGACUGCACAUGGGCGUGCAAGCUUUGAAAUGUACAAGAGUCCCCAGCGAGGGCUCUUGUGCAUUUCAAAGCAGAAGUGCCCUCAUAGAGCCCGGGAUCAGAUGGGGAGUCCCCAGCUGACCCUGGGCUCCACGCGGUGCUGCCACUUUGAAACACCAAGGUGUUAUUCAAAGGCACAGCAGAGCCAUGGAUCAGCUGUGCAGCGCUGCCGCUUUGAAGUACUCCCCCCACUCCUCCAUUGCUGCCUCUAUCUGAUGGAGCGGGGCGGGGGGAGGGAGAAUUGACUAGUUGCUGGCAUUUGCUUAUCGGAUAGUCAACUAGUUCUUAACAUCCUUAAACUGUACUCAAGUCAAAAACUGAAGGGAAUUGGUGAGCCAAAAAUGGCAGAAGACCUUUUUCACGUCUGGAGUUAUUUGGGUAUCCAGUAAUAGCAAAAAGUGCAGAAAAAACACUUUCCUCUAUUAUAAGAAUUGGGUAUUAAAUGUGUCUUUUCUGGUAGUGGCAUGUUCUUAAAUGAGAGGCAGGACAGCUGUAGUUACCGAUAUUAUCACCUACAACAAAGAUAUACUGCCAUAGGAGAAAGAGCGUGUGUAAAGUCCAUAAAAGAAAGUAUGUCCACCAGCCAAGCAGCAACAGAAAUCUUUUCCAUGCGUCUGCCUGGAACUCAGAAGGACAGGAUGCAGUAAUUGUUAUAAGCCUAAUUCAGUGUUUCUUAAACUGUGUUCCCGGGGACACGAAGCCAUCAGAGGUGUGCCAUGGGGGGAUCAGAGUUCAAAAUGGCUGCCCUUAAAGUGGCAGCCAACCUUUUUGUUUGUUUGUUUUGCUCAAAAAAAUAUCCUUGGUGUUCCUCAUUUAAAAAAAAAAAUCGUUUGGUGUUCCUCGGUCUUACAAAGUUUAAAAAACACUGGCCUAAUUGAAUUAACUAGUUUCUCAUAAACUUCUUGAUCCCUUUGCUUAGAAAAGGGAGUUUAAAUGUGGUGUGAUAAUUUGUGAGAUUUUUUUUCCCCCUCAAGAGAAGUUUAAGUUUGGAUUGAUUACUUGAAAGUACAGGUAGUAGGUUUCAAAGAAUGUUGACCAUCCUGGCUCUGGCUUCUAGAGAUGCUUUGUUGAGAAAAUGAAAUUAGAGAUGGCUGGUACUGGGCUUGUUCUACACAUGCAGUUCUUCAGAUGGACUAGUCCAGAUGAAGGUGAACUUAUUUCAUAGAAAAGUUGAUAGUUGUAAGUAAAAGUACUGGUUUCUUGAAUCAACUGGAGAGACCUCAGGAUUAGCAAGAGAAUGGUGAUUUGAAAAUGUUCAGUAGAGUAUUAUUUUAGCAGCUGCUAUGUGGUGGAGAAAUAUACAGUUGACCAUGAAAAUUAGGUUCAGGUUCUAACUAGCUAUGUUGGUAGGCUUGUGACAAUUAAGAGAAGGGGUAGAAUUUGCUGUAUUUGUUUUGCCAAUAUCCUCUGCCUGGUGUAUGAUUUUAAACUUGUACCAUAUUUCACUGCAGCCACUUUUGCUUUCAUCUCUACAGGUAGUUUGGCCAGGGUUUGGUUUUGUCAUAUUUUUACCUGUUGUUGUAAUUUUGGUGUUCUCAACAGAUUUGAUAAUGACAGAACCUUCUCCAGGGAAACAGUCGUCAAAGGAAAAGUGUAGCAGUCACACCAACUCAGAAAUUUUAAGUUUAAUUGGCCAAAAAAAGCUCUGAAAAACUUUGUGUGUCUGGGACUUCACUAGAGUUGGCAGAAGGCAUGGCUUGCAUAAAAGCCUGACAGAAAUGUUAGCUCUGACAAUAGCUUAUCUGUCCACUGUAUAGAACAGCUUUAUAGGACACUAUUUGAGAACCAUUGAGUUGGUUCAUUUUUUCUGUCGCUUAUUAUGUUAGUAGUAUGUGGCAGAUUUGGAGGAAGGGCACAUUUUAAUUGGUUUUCUUUUGAAAUUCUUAUCAUAAGUCUUUCUAGUUUUGAACCCAGAGGAUCUUUUGUCUGCUUAACUGUAUAUGAUCUCAUCCACUCAUCUUGUUGCAAAAGGUAUUCCAGUGCUGUCUGAAUCUCUAAAAGUCAUUCCCCACUACUGGAAGCUAGUGUAUCUAUCAUUUGGUUUGUAAUUAACUGCUAUUUGUACAGUUUUGCAUUGUAUGUCUUUUUAUUUUUUUUUUUGGCUUUCAUUUGGCCAAAAAAAAAAAAAAUCUCUAAGAUGACCUACAUCAAUCGUAUAAUUUGUUCUACUUCAUGUCCUCAGUUUUUGGAUAUAAUUUGUUUUCAUAUAGAUUAUUGUUCAAGGGAGUUUCCACAGCACAUGAUUCAGGCUUUUUGACAUGAGAAAUGUUCUUGUUUUAACUGUCGAUCCAUAUGUUGCCAUCAGUCUUCUCUCUGAAUUGUGAGAAGUGUUGAGGUGAUUGGCUGUGCAUGGUUUUCAACAACAGUCCUUGGUGGCAUGUAAGAGCUCUGUUCUGCAGCAGCAUUUUUACUUGGAAGUCUCUCCAGUUUGUGUUUUGUCUUGAUUUUUGAAAACUGGAUGGUAGUCUUUCCUGAGCAGGUUUGAAAGUUAUAUGUACUUUUUCUUGCCUGAAUAUAGACACCAACAUACAUCUCUUGCAAUAUCUGCUUUGAUGACAUUUUCUUAGAUUUAUUUCCAUAAUGGAAGUAUUAACUUGAAUUCCUAAUCUGUCACUAGUCACUGAAUAGCUGCAGCAAUAAUACUCUUUCUACUUGCUAAUAUAGAUGCUCCAGUUUGACCUUGGUACAUGUAUUUGACAUAGCAGAAAUGGUGGUAUUUUGUCAAUUGCAUUUGUAUCAAGUUGGUAUUCUAUUUAGAGCCUCGAUUUCUCUUUUAUUCUACAACUUCACAGUAUUCUCCUGUGAAUGUGCUUUGGGGUCAUUUUGGCAAAGUACUGUGGUGAUGCUGUAAUGGUUUUGUUGUUGAACAGUACUGUCUGCAAUUUGGGAAGUCUUUUUGUGAAUUUUUUUUUGGGGGGAGGGAGGGUAAGUGGAGAAAGUCUCUUUAUGGUACAUUGCUUAGGUGAACAUUGCUACUACGAAAACUAUUAGUUUCUUUUAUCUUUGAACAGUGUUCAUUGUGUAAUACAGCAUAUGUGGGAAAAUCUGCCAAUUACUUUUACCUGUUACAUACCGUUCUGUCAUUCCCAGGGUACUGAGACCCUGACAUAGAUUAGUGAAUGAGAAUUGCUUUAGUGGAAUGACACUCCACUUCUCCUCCUAACACUUUGUGUGGUGAUGUGAGAAGAGAUUGAGAAUCUAGCCAAUGAUUUUAAAAGUUUCAGAAUUUUCAUUUAAAAUUCAACCUUUUAUUAUAUCGUGACACUAGUUGUGCAAUGAAAACUUGGCACCAAUUUCUCAUUUCUGCGUAUAAAAGCUCAGAAUAUAUUUCUAUCAAAAUAUUUCUCAGCUUUUCCAGCAAAUCUCAAUGCAGUUAAUUAAGUCUUUAUCCUUUUCUAGUACCACUAUCUGAAGAACAUGCAUUUAAAACAAUAUUUUGCAGCGUGGACACCAAAGGGUUAAAACAUUUUGAGUUUAGUAUUUUGAACAUUUUGCUUUACAAACUUUAGACUAGUAUACUGAUGUCUGUAGGAAAAGAUUUUUCUCACUGUGGGUAUAUUUAGUGUUCAGAUCCUUUUUUAAUUCUUGUCUCUGCUAACUUUUGUAUAAGCAUAUUACUAAUUCAUUUAAGAUGCAGCAUAUUUGAAUUUGAAGUAACUGAAGCCAUGAAUUGACCAGUAGUUUUUAGCCCAUACUAUUUACAUUUCAUCAAAAGCACUUGACAAUUAAAUUGGCUUCAGGAUGCAAGUAGUAAUGUUUACAGAGCCUUUCUGGCUUUUAUCUUGUUGUUAAGGUGGUCACAUGGUGAUGGCUUAAACACAAUGACUAACGUGCUACAGCACUCUAUGUAUGUUAAUGUAACUUUUAAUCUUAAUGUUGCCUGCAAAUAUGUGAUCCCUUAUGAUGUAAGUUUCCUGUUUAUGCACCAUUGCCCGUUUAAAUCAAACAGAAGAUUCUGAAACUGUAAAAACUACACAUGUCAAUGUUUUACAGCUACGUAAUUCGAAUUGACUUGAUUUUUUCAAGUAAUCCUAGAAAGGGGGAGCAUUCCAUAUAGAAACUGCUGAAACUGCCACAGGUGCUUCUCCGAAAACCUUACAGUUGUGGCAUUGAAUGUUCAGUAUCGCUUCCUUUCUGCACACAAGGCAUACUGUUGAGCUUGAGAAAUGCCAGUGGAUUGACAGCAGCAGAUCUUGCACAUACCCAGGGUUUCCAAGAGUGUGCCCAGUUUCUCUUGAAUAUCCAGAACUGUCACCUGAACCGUUUCUUUAGCAAUGGCACCUUAAAUGGUGGUCCCAGUACAGUCAAUGGUGGGACAAGUCGAAAGAGAUCCUUUGAAGAUGUGGCGUCUCCUGGAGUAAAGAAAGCUAGGACUGAAGCUCAUAGGUUUGAUGGCUUAAUACCAAUGAUGAAUGAAGGAAAUGAGGAUGAUGCUGACAAUAUGCACAUUGAUAAAGAGUUUGCUGUUGUAUCAGGUGGGACUGGACAGUUUCCUGUUAACUACAACAACAUUCAAAUGGUUGAAGACAACAAACAACAGGAGAGUGGUUCUGUUGGACCAAAAGAGAUUGAAAUUUACACAGUUUCUGCAAUGCAAACCCC